GGACAACCUCACCCUCAACACUGAUAAAACAAAGGAGAUGAUAGUGGACAUGAGGAAGAAGAGGUAUGAUAUUGGUAUGAUCCGAGCUCAGACACUAAGCGACUGAGCGAGGGGGCGGGGCAGCUGCUGCCUGUGAGUGCGCUGUUGGAAAAACGGAGCCAGCCAUACUAAGGAGAGCUUAAGUUCGACCAGGUAACAAAGCAAAUCAUUCGUACCGUACAAAUAAUGUAAAUGUGACGGUGAAUCAUGAAAGAUUGAUAUCAAACUGAUCACUUGACCAAUAUUAUUUUACUUGCUCUUCAAGUGAAUCAACAAAUGGCGAAAUGAAAAGCCGAACAAAUGCUAUUUUUUUUUUUUUAGAGAGUCUUAGCUUACGUGUGUUUAUUUCAUAUUUUCAGUUCUUACCCUCCCCGACUAAAUCGGUUUCAGUUAUGUACUGAAAUAUAAGAAUGGACAUUAGAGGCUUCUUUCAAAGAAAAAACUCAGCACAAAGAGGGAGAGAGAGGAACAGAGAUGAACAAGAGCAGUUUGUUCCUUCAACCCUACCAAACUUGUGUGUGUGGACAGCAAAGGAAGAAUUUCAUCGCACAGAGAAAUUUCUUCUGUACAUGUCACACAGUGGAAAUUUGUAUUUAUCUUGUAUAUUGUUUUUGUUCUGAUUUUGG
ensembl:lncRNA